UACGUAGGGUGCAAGCGUUGUCCGGAAUUAUUGGGCGUAAAGAGCUCGUAGGCGGUCUGUCGCGUCUGCUGUGAAAACUCGGGGCUUAACCCCGGGCCUGCAGUGGGUACGGGCAGACUAGAGUGCGGUAGGGGAGACUGGAAUUCCUGGUGUAGCGGUGAAAUGCGCAGAUAUCAGGAGGAACACCGGUGGCGAAGGCGGGUCUCUGGGCCGAUAUUGACGCUGAGGCGCGAAGGCGUGGGGAGCGAACGGG
rnacentral:rRNA from 1 species